CUACGGGUCGCUCCAGUGAGGAAUAUUGCACAAUGGGGAAACCCUGAUGCAGCAACGCCGCGUGGAGGAUGACGCAUUUCGGUGUGUAAACUCCUUUUAUAUGUCAAGAAAAUGACGGUAGCAUAUGAAUAAGCACCGGCUAACUCCGUGCCAGCAGCCGCGGUAAUACGGAGGGUGCAAGCGUUACUCGGAAUCACUGGGCGUAAAGGACGCGUAGGCUGGUUGGUAAGUCAGGUGUGAAAUCCUACAGCUUAACUGUAGAACUGCACUUGAAACUACCAACCUAGAGUAUGGGAGGGGGAGAUGGAAUUAGUGGUGUAGGGGUAAAAUCCGUAGAUAUCACUAGGAAUACCGUAAGCGAAGGCGAUCUCCUGGAACAUAACUGACGCUAAGGCGUGAAAGCGUGGGGAGCAAACAGGAUUAGAUACCCCGGUAGUC
rnacentral:rRNA from 1 species